rnacentral:rRNA from 1 species
UACGGAGGGUGCAAGCGUUGUUCGGAAUUACUGGGCAUAAAGGGUGCGUAGGCGGCUUGUUAAGUCAGGGGUGAAAGUUUUCGGCCCAACCGGAAAAUUGCCUUUGAUACUGGCGAGCUCGAGUGCGUGAGGGGUAACCGGAACGAGCAGUGUAGCGGUGAAAUGCGUAGAUAUUGCUCGGAAGGCCAACGGCGAAGGCAGGUUACUGGUACGCAACUGACGCUGAGGCACGAAAGCGUGGGGAGCAAACAGG